rnacentral:rRNA from 1 species
GACGAACGCUGGCGGCGUGCUUAACACAUGCAAGUCGAACGGAAAGGCCCUGCUUUUUUGGGGUUCUCGAGUCGCGAACGGGUGAGUAACACAGGAGUAACCUUCCCUGGACUUUGUGAUAACUUCAGGCAACUGGGGCUAAUACCUGAGAGGUGCUCCUGCUGCAGGGUGGGGUUUGGACAUUUUCGGCUGUUGUGGAUGGACUCGCGGCUUAUCAGCUGGUGGGUGGGGUAGUCGCUUACCAAGGCUUUGGUGGGUAGCCGGCACGAGAGGGUGACCGGCGACAUGGGUCCUGAGGUAGGGCGCAGACUGGUACGUGGGGCAGUAGUGGGAAAUCUUGCACAAUCAGGCGAAGCCUGAUGAGAAAACGCCGCGAGCGUAAAGACGGCCUUCUGGUUGUAAACCGCUUUAGGCUGUUACGAAGCGUGAGUGACGGUAAUGGGUAAAGAAGCACCGGCUAACUACGUG